AGUUCCCAUCCACGUACUGAAUGUUUUCGCUGCAUCCGCAUUCGUCUGCCUCAACACGGAUUUGGAGAAAAGCACCAUGUUUACUUCUAUUCCAGUAAAUGCAAGAGCAGCAAGUCCUUCACUUACUGAAACAACAAUGCUGGAAAAUUAAUAUGAAAUAUAUCAGAGUUGGUCAAUGAAAGUACCAAGCACCAGAGAUCCUGCUCUCCAUCCACCUGUUCUGUCUCUUGCUGCUGGCUCCCCAUACAUGUCGAGUGUCCCAUCUUUCGUGCAUUCAUCGAGAAGCCCCGUCCCUCGUUCCUGCAUGCCGUAGAUCAAGCUUAAUGAGAUCAGUCUAUACAAGGCGCAGCUGUAAGAAUAAGAUAUAAGGAUGUUGAUUGGAUUAGGGUCAGUCUCAUCGGCUAUUCAUUUCGGGUUAGUUGGGAUGGAUUUAUUUUUUCCGGUUAGAAAUUUUCAAACCACAGCCCUCGUCUUUGCAGUCUAUUAUUUGACCACUCUUUCUAGAUUCGGGUUGAAUUGGCAUUCCUUUGUAUAUUAUUGUUUUGUUUCUCGACGAACAACGACGUAAAGUAUGUAUAGACAGAAAGGUGCUGGCUUUAGUUUUGUUGGUAUGGGAGUGAACAGAGAGUGCUAAACCUCCAAUCAUGGCUCUUACAUCUUCUUCAACAACAUGCGAGAGAUCAAAUAUUUGUAAAGUGGAAAAAGAGAUCGGCUCAAAAGAGAUUUUCUCAAUCA